UGGGCUGGUUCAGGGGGGGGGGGUUUGUAGGAUGGUGUGUCGGUGUGUUCAUUAUUCUUCUGUGUAUCUCCGAUGUGCCCAUCAAUCGGAGGAAUGACCUUUGUUACAUUAUUAACAGUUUCUCAGUGUCACCUCUAAGUGUCGCCAAAGG